GAAGGGGUCACCAGACCCUAGGGAGUUAUGAAAUGUUUCCCACAGCUCCUAAAGAAGGGGUGCACAGGGAAUCGACGUCUGCUGAACACUGCACCAUGCACCGUCCUAGUGAGGAUCAGGGCUUGGCCUGCUCUGAGUCAUCUCCCAGUAACAUCUAGUUCCCAGAAAAAUCGGAACAAGGACACUGAAGCAGAACCACUUCCCAGAGAGCAAAGAUUUGAAGGUGGGAUGACAAAUCCAGUUCCAUCUUAACUAGAAGCACAAAUUGAGAGUAUGCAGCUUUUUAUACUCACAUGGGAAAAACAGGAGGUAGAAAUAAAGCACUUCUGCUGCACACCAAAGGGCAAUUGUCUCACAGAAAAGCAUUUGUACUGUUGUUUGAGAAGUAUAGUGGGCCCCAGUGGCUCACACCUGUAAUCCCAACACUUUGGGAGGACAAAGCAGGUGGAUCACUUGAGGUCAGGAGUUCGAGACCAG